CAGUAGCCGCGGGAAUACGUAGGGUGCAAGCGUUAAUCGGAAUUACUGGGCGUAAAGCGUGCGCAGGCGGUUUGUUAAGACAGAUGUGAAAUCCCCGGGCUCAACCUGGGAACUGCAUUUGUGACUGGCAAGCUAGAGUCUGGCAGAGGGGGGUGGAAUUCCGCGUGUAGCAGUGAAAUGCGUAGAUAUGCGGAGGAACACCGAUGGCGAAGGCAGCCCCCUGGGCCAACACUGACGCUCAUGCACGAAAGCGUGGGGAGCAAACAGGAUUAGAUACCCCAGUAGUCCCUGUCUCUUAUAC
rnacentral:rRNA from 1 species